rnacentral:rRNA from 7 species
AGAACGACUCUCGGCAACGGAUAUCUCGGCUCUCGCAUCGAUGAAGAACGUAGCGAAAUGCGAUACUUGGUGUGAAUUGCAGAAUCCCGUGAACCAUCGAGUCUUUGAACGCAAGUUGCGCCCGAAGCCAUCCGGUCGAGGGCACGUCUGCCUGGGCGUCACAC